rnacentral:rRNA from 1 species
UGGGGAAUAUUGCACAAUGGGCGCAAGCCUGAUGCAGCCAUGCCGCGUGUAUGAAGAAGGCCUUCGGGUUGUAAAGUACUUUCAGCGGGGAGGAAGGGAGUAAAGUUAAUACCUUUACUCAUUGACGUUACCCGCAGAAGAAGCACCGGCUAACUCCGUGCCAGCAGCCGCGGUAAUACGGAGGGUGCAAGCAUUAAUCGGAAUUACUGGGCGUAAAGCGCACGCAGGCGGUUGAUUGAGUCAGAUGUGAAAUCCCCGGGCUUAACCCGGGAAUUGCAUCUGAUACUGGUCAGCUAGAGUCUUGUAGAGGGGGGUAGAAUUCCAUGUGUAGCGGUGAAAUGCGUAGAGAUCUGGAGGAAUACCGGUGGCGAAGGCGGCCCCCUGGACGAAGACUGACGCUCAGGUGCGAAAGCGUGGGGAGCAAACAGG